UACGGAGGGUGCAAGCGUUAUCCGGAUUCACUGGGUUUAAAGGGUGCGUAGGUGGGCUGGUAAGUCAGUGGUGAAGUCUCCAGGCUUAACUUGGAAACUGCCAUUGAUACUAUCAGUCUUGAAUACCGUGGAGGUCAGCGGAAUAUGUCAUGUAGCGGUGAAAUGCUUAGAUAUGACAUAGAACACCAAUUGCGAAGGCAGCUGGCUACACGAAUAUUGACACUGAUGCACGAAAGCGUGGGGAUCAAACAGG
rnacentral:rRNA from 1 species